rnacentral:lncRNA from 1 species
GGCGCUUUCGCUGGCGCCCGCAGCGGGCUCCGGCUGCGCGGCCUGGGUCUCCCCGGUCCCCGGCGCCCGGAGCUCUCCGGCUUCCUUUCCCGCCCCGGGGCGAGCUCGGCCUCUCCGGGAGAAGCCCAUCCCGGAGCCAGGCCUGGAAAAACAACAGCAAGAAACUUUGGCUCGGGUUUGCGGUUCAGUGAAAAAAAGCAAACACUCAAGUUUGGUUUGGGGCUGCAGCCGCCGGUUCCGAUCCGGGGGCGGGGGUGGGGGUGGGGGGGGGGGGGUGUCACAACUCGGUCAGGUUCAAGUGCGCAUGUGCGUGAGGAGCCGCUCGGGCACUUAUUGAGCGCCCACUGUCUACGGGAGGCGGGCGGGGGGGGGUGUGUGCGGGGAGGGCGCGCGCGGCCGGCGGAGGGGGAGGGGAGGGGAGGGGAGGGGGCGCGCAGGCCGCGUGCGCGCGCGGCGCCCAGGGCUGGGGAGGGGGGCGGGGGGCGGGCGCUGGGGGGGGGGUGUGUCCCCGAGCCUCGCUCGCUCGCUCGCUGGCUGGCGCGCUCCUCCGCUCCCUUCCCGGGCGGGGAAUCCGGGCCGGGUUGUGGCCGCGGCCGCGUACGUGAGCGCAGUGUCCCGGAGAGGGAGGGCAGGCCGGCCAGGUGGGCGCGAACGGAGCCUCGGCGGGCGGGCGGGCGGCCGGAGCGGAGCGGAGCGGGGCGGAGCGGGGCGGUGGGCCGCGCCGGGUGGGCGCGCAGGGGCCGCGGCCGCUGCAGCCCCGAGCCAGGCCGAGCUGUCCGAGCGGGCGCUGCCCGGCCCGCGCUGCUGCUCGUGGCGGGGCGAGGUGAGCUGCGCGGGGACCUCGCGGCGCUGCAGCGCGGGGACGGGGGCGGCCCGGGAACUUCCCACGCUCCGCGCGCCGGGGGGGCCGGGCCGGCGGCCGGAGGGCCCGGGAGGCGGGCGCCGGGGGCAGCGGCCGGCGGGGCGCGGGGGCGCUGCGGCAGCGCCGGUGCCCGCGCGGGCGGGGUGGGGGGUGGCCGCCCGCCCCGCCGUGCGCCGCCUUGUUUAUCUCGGCCGCCGCGGGCGCUCGCGCGGGCACCCCCUCCCCAACUUUGA